UGAAACCCUGGUCCCCAUAUGAUCACUGAAGUUAAGCAACAUCGAGCCUGAUCAGUACUUAGAUGGGUAAUCGCUUGAGAAUACCAGGUUCUGUAUG